rnacentral:rRNA from 1 species
CUACGGGCGGCUCCAGUGAGGAAUAUUGCACAAUGGGGGGAACCCUGAUGCAGCAACGCCGCGUGGAGGAUGACGCAUUUCGGUGUGUAAACUCCUUUUAUAUGUCAAGAAAAUGACGGUAGCAUAUGAAUAAGCACCGGCUAACUCCGUGCCAGCAGCCGCGGUAAUACGGAGGGUGCAAGCGUUACUCGGAAUCACUGGGCAUAAAGGACGCGUAGGCGGGUUGGCAAGUCAGGUGUGAAAUCCUACAGCUUAACUGUAGAACUGCACUUGAAACUUCUAAUCUAGAGUAUGGGAGGGGGAGAUGGAAUUAGUGGUGUAGGGGUAAAAUCCGUAGAUAUCACUAGGAAUGCCUAAAGCGAAGGCGAUCUCCUGGAACAUUACUGACGCUAAGGCGUGAAAGCGUGGGGAGCAAACAGGAUUAGAUACCCCGGUAGUC